UACUGAAAAUUUUAUCUAUUUUUAUAGUUAAGAAUUGACGAGAUUUACAGAGUAACCAAAAUGGCGUGUCACGUGUACCUCAUUCUGGCUUACAAGGAUAAACUUUUAACCAUAGAAAUUGAUGAAAAUUUUAAUA
rfam:Gossypium raimondii Chr05_contig_1369, whole genome shotgun sequence.